CUGCAGCCCGAGUGGUGAUCGAUUUUAUUGAGCCUAAAGCGUCCGUAGCCGGACUAGUAAACCCUUGGGUAAAUUGGGCAGCUUAACUGUCCAAAUUCCGAGGGGACUGCUAGUCUUGGGACCGGGAGAGGUCAGAGGUACUCCAGGGGUAGGGGCUAAAUCCUGUAAUCCUUUGGGGACCACCAGUGGCGAAGGCGUCUGACUAGAACGGAUCCGACGGUAAGGGACGAAACCCUGGGGCGCGAACCGGAUUAGAGACCCGCGUAGUCC
rnacentral:rRNA from 1 species